rnacentral:rRNA from 2 species
UACGUAGGGGGCAAGCGUUGUCCGGAAUUAUUGGGCGUAAAGAGCGUGUAGGCGGCCAGGUAGGUCUGCUGUGAAAACUCGAGGCUCAACCUCGAGCUGUCGGUGGAAACCAUCUGGCUAGAGUCCGGAAGAGGAGAAUGGAAUUCCUGGUGUAGCGGUGAAAUGCGCAGAUAUCAGGAAGAACACCCGUGGCGAAGGCGGUUCUCUGGGACGGUACUGACGCUGAGACGCGAAAGCGUGGGGAGCAAACAGG